UGAAACCAGAUAUGACUUAGUGGCGGACGGGUGAGUAACACGUGAGCAACCUGCCUUUCAGAGGGGGAUAACGGCUGGAAACGGUCGCUAAUACCGCAUGAUGUGUUCGGAUGGCAUCAUCUGAACAUCAAAGAUUUAUCGCUGAAAGAUGGGCUCGCGUCUGAUUAGAUAGUUGGUGGGGUAACGGCCUACCAAGGCGACGAUCAGUAGCCGGUCUGAGAGGAUGAACGGCCACAUUGGGACUGAGACACGGCCCAAACUCC
rnacentral:rRNA from 1 species